GUGUGAGAGUGUGUUGUGAGUGUGUGUGUGUGUGUUUGUGUGUGUAAAGGCUCAAGUGAUGGCCUGCGGAAUCCAUAGCAAACCACAACAAGAACCUGACUACUGGCACAUUUAUCGCAGCUAGCGAGGCAUUUUUUAAGCCUACCUAAAACUUGUGUGUGCCAAAAAAGAAAAAAAA